rnacentral:tRNA from 1 species
GCCUGGGUGGCUCAGUCGGUUGAGCGUCCGACUUCAGCUCAGGUCAUGAUCUUGCAGUUUGUGAGUUCAAGCCCCGCAUCGGGCU